AGCCCCGAGGUGUCAACAUAUUGGAUUGCAAGUCCAAAGUCGCAGACUAAUAAUCUGCCGGGGUUU
rnacentral:tRNA from 1 species